CUAGUUUCAUCACAGAGAUCGUUGAUUGCUGAUGAAUGAAUCUGUAUAGAUGACGAGGGUGAUGGUGUAAUUAUUGAAGUACGAAGGAGAACAAGUAGGAGUUUUAGGUUCAUUGCGUGAGGUGAUAAAUCAGGGAGAGAGUUAGGGUUAGGGUUUAUUCUUGAAGUGAAGAAAUCAUGAGAAGAUGAUGGAUCUGUUGAGAAUGCAGGUGAUUCAUGGCGGUGCUGUUAAAUCAAGUGUGGAUUCAACUUGGCAGAAAUGAAUAAGAGGGGAGUUAGAAGCUAAUGUUGCCUGCCAACUCUUUUGAUGAUUUAAUGUAUUGUUUGCUGUGAUGGUGGAAGGAGGUAUAGCUGAAAUGGGUGCUUGUUUGAGUAUUUGCAGCUGAGUUAGGUGGUGAAUUGAAAUUGCAGGAAGGAUGGAAGGAGGUAGCUGAAAUGGGUGCUUGGUUCUGGUGAUGCAGUUUGAGGUCAUAAGGAAGGAUUUCUAGGUCAAAGAGUAGUGAUGUUGUAUUAUAUGAUAGCAGAAUGAGUUGCAUAAUGGUGGUUGUUUGGAUGUGAAUUUCCGGGAAUAGCAGAAUGAGUUGCAGCUGGGAUUGCAACUAGAUACAGGGAAGUGAUUGAAGCUGCCGAAUGGUGCUCUAAAUGGAUGUUGCUGUUGAAGCUGAAUGGAGGCUGCAGAUGUGAAGAAGAAGUGCGAGAGUAGUUCAUGGGAAAGUAUGGAAUUGUGGAGUUUCUGCUGUGAGAUGGAUGGAGGAUAUGAAGGAUAAGGAAACGGUGGUUCUACUGAGAACGGUGUAGAAGCGGACAUUACAUUUACUACAGGCAUUCAUUUUUCCAUGUGCAGAAAUUACCUUCAUGUCAUUUUUCCAUGUACGGAAGGUCAGUGCUUGGUUGUAGAGAAAGCUUCGAGGUUAUCAAUAUAUGUUUGUUUCCGCUAUGACUGGACUUCCAAACGUGAGAUGGUUUGGUAUUGAAGCGGACUAUAAUUUUCUCGUGAUGGAUUUAAUUGGACCUAAUCUUGAAAGUCUAUUCAACUUCUGCAGUAAGAAAAUCUCUUUAAAGUCUGUUAUGAUGCUUGCAGACCAGAUGGUCAAUCGUGUUGAAUUCGUACUCGCCAAAUCUUUUCUACAUCGAGAUAUUAAGCCAGAUAAUCUCCUCAUGGGGCUUCGAAGGCGUGCAAAUCAGGUGUACGUUGUUGGCUUUGGUUUGGCUAAGAUGUACAGGGAUAUUACAACACAUUCUAUAUAGGGUUGUGGAUGCAGGCAAGAUUAUGGAUGCAGCUGAAGUUGCCGAAAACAAGCUCUUUCUGCUUCAUCCAAAAAUGCAACCAAACUGGAUAGCCAUAGUCGGAAGAAAGAAUGUGGGUUACAAUGCUAAUACACGUCUCCACGAUGCAGGAAAGAAAGAUAAGAUCAUGUUAUCUUUGUAAGUUUGUAAAUAGUGUUGCUUAUAGUGGUUUAUGUUAGAAGAUACUUAAGAACUUGAUACUU